rnacentral:rRNA from 1 species
GACGAACGCUGGCGGCGUGCCUAAUACAUGCAAGUCGAACGCAGUGGGGACGGGUGCGUAACACGUGGGUAACCUCCCAUCAGAGGGGAUAACACUUGGACACAGGUGCUAACCCGCUAUUGUUGGAUGGACCCGCGGUGCAUUAGCUAGUUGGUGAGGUAACGGCCCACCAAGGCCACGAUGCAUAGCCGAGCUGAGAGGGUGAUCGGCCACACUGGAACUGAGACAAGGCCCAGACUCAUAAGGGAGGCAGCAGGAGGGAAUCUUCGGCAAUGGACGAAAGUCUGACCGAGAAACGCCGAGUGAGUGAAGAAGGUUUUCGGAUCGUAAAACUCUGUUGUUAGAGAAGCGGUAUCUAACCAGAAAGCCACGGCUAACUACGUGCCAGCCGCCGAGGUAAUUC